rnacentral:rRNA from 1 species
AGCGAACGCUGGCGGCGUGCUUAACACAUGCAAGUCGAGCGAACCUUCGGGUUAGCGGCGAACGGGUGAGUAACACGUGGGCAACCUGCCCCGAGCUCUGGGAUAACCCCGGGAAACCGGGGCGUAAUACCGGAUAUGACAUCGACAGACAUCUGUCGUUGUGGAAAGUUUUCGGUCUCGGGAUGGCCCGCGGCCUAUCAGCUUGUUGGUGGGGUAACGGCCUACCAAGGCGACGACGGGUAGCCGGCCUGAGAGGGCGACCGGCCACACUGGGACUGAGACACGGCCCAGACUCCUACGGGAGGCAGCAGUGGGGAAUAUUGCGCAAUGGGCGAAAGCCUGACGCAGCGACGCCGCGUGAGGGAUGAAGGCCUUCGGUUG